rnacentral:rRNA from 1 species
GACAGAGGGGGCAAGCGUUAAUCGGAAUUACUGGGCGUAAAGCGUGCGUAGACGGUUAUGUAAGUCGGGUGUGAAAGCCCCGGGCUCAACCUGGGAAUGCCAUUCGAGACUGCAUAGCUAGGGUGCGGAAGAGGGAAGCGGAAUUUCAGGUGUAGCGGUGAAAUGCGUAGAUAUCUGAAGGAACACCAGUGGCGAAAGCGGCUUCCUGGUCCAGCACCGACGUUCAGGCACGAAAGCGUGGGGAGCAAACAGG